AGCAGCCGCGGUAAUUCCAGCUCCAAUAGCGUAUAUUAAAGUUGUUGCAGUUAAAAAGCUCGUAGUUGAAUUUUGGGUCUGGCCGGGCGGUCCGCCCUCUGGGUGAGCACUGUUCCGACGCCGGGCCUAUCCUUCUGGUGAGUCGGCAUGUCCUUUAUUGGGUGUGUCGGGGAACCAGGACCAUUACCUUGAAAAAUUAGAGUGUUCAAAGCAGGCGUAUGCUCGAAUACAUUAGCAUGGAAUAAUGAAAUCGGACGCGUGGUGCUAUUUUGUUGGUUUCUAGAACCGCCGUAAUGAUUAAUAGGGAUAGUUGGGGGCAUUAGUAUUCAAUUGUCAGAGGUGAAAUUCUUGGAUUUAUUGAAGAUUAACUUCUGCGAAAGCAUUUGCCAAGGAUGUUUUCAUUAAUCAAGAACGAAAGUUAGGGGAUCGAAGACGAUCAGAUACCGUCGUAGUCUUAACCAUAAACUAUGCCGACUAGGAAUCGGGCGAUGUUAUUCUCAUGACUCGCCCCGGCGCCUU
rnacentral:misc_RNA from 1 species